GGAAUAUUGCACAAUGGGCGCAAGCCUGAUGCAGCGACGCCGCGUGAGGGAUGAAGGCCUUCGGGUUGUAAACCUCUUUCAGUAGGGAAGAAGCUGGCUUUCGGGUUGGUGACGGUACCUGCAGAAGAAGCGCCGGCUAACUACGUGCCAGCAGCCGCGGUAAUACGUAGGGCGCAAGCGUUAUCCGGAAUUAUUGGGCGUAAAGAGCUCGUAGGCGGUUUGUCGCGUCUGCCGUGAAAGUCCGGGGCUUAACCCCGGAUCUGCGGUGGGUACGGGCAGACUAGAGUGCAGUAGGGGAGACUGGAAUUCCUGGUGUAGCGGUGAAAUGCGCAGAUAUCAGGAGGAACACCGAUGGCGAAGGCAGGUCUCUGGGCUGUAACUGACGCUGAGGAGCGAAAGCAUGGGGAGCGAACAGGAUUAGAUACCCCAG
rnacentral:rRNA from 1 species